GUGCUCACUUCGACAACACGUACACUAACACUGGAAUGAUACAGAGAAGAUUAUCAUGGCCCCUGCACAGGGAUGGCACGCAAAUUCAUGAAGCAUUCCAUGUUUUA